rnacentral:rRNA from 1 species
GGCGCGUGCUUACACAUGCAAGUCGAACGAUGAACCGCUUUCGGGCGGGGAUUAGUGGCGAACGGGUGAGUAACACGUGGGCAAUCUGCCCUGCACUCUGGGACAAGCCCUGGAAACGGGGUCUAAUACCGGAUAUGACCGUCUGCCGCAUGGUGGAUGGUGUAAAGCUCCGGCGGUGCAGGAUGAGCCCGCGGCCUAUCAGCUUGUUGGUGAGGUAGUGGCUCACCAAGGCGACGACGGGUAGCCGGCCUGAGAGGGCGACCGGCCACACUGGGACUGAGACACGGCCCAGACUCCUACGGGAGGCAGCAGUGGGGAAUAUUGCACAAUGGGCGAAAGCCUGAUGCAGCGACGCCGCGUGAGGGAUGACGGCCUUCGGGUUGUAAACCUCUUUCAGCAGGGAAGAAGCGAAAGUGACGGUACCUGCAGAAGAAGCGCCGGCUAACUACGUGCCAGCAGCCGCGGUAAUACGUAGGGCGCAAGCGUUGUCCGGAAUUAUUGGGCGUAAAGAGCUCGUAGGCGGCUUGUCACGUCGGUUGUGAAAGCCCGGGGCUUAACCCCGGGUCUGCAGUCGAUACGGGCAGGCUAGAGUUCGGUAGGGGAGAUCGGAAUUCCUGGUGUAGCGGUGAAAUGCGCAGAUAUCAGGAGGAACACCGGUGGCGAAGGCGGAUCUCUGGGCCGAUACUGACGCUGAGGAGCGAAAGCGUGGGGAGCGAACAGGAUUAGAUACCCUGGUAGUCCACGCCGUAAACGGUGGGCACUAGGUGUGGGCAACAUUCCACGU